rnacentral:rRNA from 1 species
GACGAACGCUGGCGGCGUGCCUAAUACAUGCAAGUAGAACGCUGAAGAGAGGAGCUUACUCUUCUUGGAUGAGUUGCGAACGGGUGAGUAACGCGUAGGUAACCUGCCUUGUAGCGGGGGAUAACUAUUGGAAGCGAUAGCUAAUACCGCAUAACAAUGGAUGACACAUGUCAUUUAUUGGAAAGGGGCAAUUGCUCCACUACAAGAUGGACCUGCGUUGUAUUAGCUAGUAGGUGAGGUAAUGGCUCACCUAGGCGACGAUACAUAGCCGACCUGAGAGGGUGAUCGGCCACACUGGGACUGAGACACGGCCCAGACUCCUACGGGAGGCAGCAGUAGGGAAUCUUCGGCAAUAGGGGCAACCCUGACCGAGCAACGCCGCGUGAGUGAAGAAGGGUUUCGGAUCGUAAAGCUCUGUUGUAAGUCAAGAACGGGUGUGAGAGUGGAAAGUUCACACUGUGACGGUAGCUUACCAGAAAGAGACGGCUAACUACGUG